rnacentral:rRNA from 1 species
UACAGAGGGUGCGAGCGUUGUUCGGAAUUACUGGGCGUAAAGCGCGCGCAGGCGGCCUUUUAAGUCCAUCGGUGAAAUGCCGGGGCUCAACCCCGUUGCAGGCCGAGGAUACUGGGAGGCUGGAGACACGUAGAGGCAAGCGGAAUUCCGGGUGUAGCGGUGAAAUGCGUAGAUAUCUGGAGGAACACCGGUGGCGAAGGCGGCAUCCUGGACCGACACUGACACUGAGGAGCGAAAGCCAGGGGAGCAAACGGG